AAUAGAUACCCCGGUAGUCCACGCCGUAAACGAUGAGUGCUAAGUGUUGGGGGGUUUCCGCCCCUCAGUGCUGCAGCUAACGCAUUAAGCACUCCGCCUGGGGAGUACGGUCGCAAGACUGAAACUCAAAGGAAUUGACGGGGGCCCGCACAAGCGGUGGAGCAUGUGGUUUAAUUCGAAGCAACGCGAAGAACCUUACCAGGUCUUGACAUCCCGGUGACCACUAUGGAGACAUAGUUUCCCCUUCGGGGGCAACGGUGACAGGUGGUGCAUGGUUGUCGUCAGCUCGUGUCGUGAGAUGUUGGGUUAAGUCCCGCAACGAGCGCAACCCUUAUUCUUAGUUGCCAUCAUUCAGUUGGGCACUCUAAGGAGACUGCCGGUGAUAAACCGGAGGAAGGUGGGGAUGACGUCAAAUCAUCAUGCCCCUUAUGACCUGGGCUACACACGUGCUACAAUGGACGGUACAAACGGUUGCCAACCCGCGAGGGGAGCUAAUCCGAUAAAACCGUUCUCAGUUCGGAUUGUAGACUGCAACUCGCCUACAUGAAC
rnacentral:rRNA from 1 species